AAAUUUAAUUGGAAAAUCAACACUCACUAGCAGCCAAGUCCAAACAAGUUCACCUCCAACUAAUGCCUACCAAGUCGGUAGCCCCAUUGCCGGCAGCCCAACCUUGAAUCUCAAAACCGCCGCCGCCGCCCCUAUCAGCCACGAAUGCCGCUUCACAACCCACCUAUGUUGACUAACAGAACCACUGCCAGAGGCACCCAGCUGUAGCUUGAAGGAACGGUUGUGGAAACUACGUCACUGACUUGAUUGAUAUUCUGCUCAGCUUCAACCUGAUCAUCUUGUACAUUUCUGGGAACAACUGGAUUGGGAACUCCUUGCUGGUCCUCAUUUACCGGCUGUUCUGCUUGGUCAGGUGUGUAGAGUCCCAGGGGUUUAUGUAUCAAGUUGGGAGGGGGAAUGGUUUGCGUAACACAUUCAGAAAUGUUGUCCAAGGACUUCAAUGGUAUAUGCGUUGAUAGUUUCGUGUUACGAUCUAAGUGCAGUUGGAUCAUUACGAAUUGGAGUUAUUUACUACGCUUGGUGCUGAUGUUCAAAUGUAUAACAACAAAAAACUUCCAGUGGUUCUAUUAGUGGUGUAUAGUUGUCGUACUUUUUAUUGGAGUAAGUUUGUUGUUGCCUUCCAAGGUUUAAAUGGCUUGUUUCAAAGCUUGUAACUGAUUGGUGUAUGUUGCAUAGCCCACUUCUAUGUAUUUCCAUUUGAGUGGUAUGUUUUCGAAGCUUUUAUUCCAAUGGCUAUUUCAAAGCUUAUAAUAAAGAAAACUAACACUCGAAACUUAGUUUUGCACCUUGUGUACUUUCGCGCAAGAUGCAACCAAAUUCAGUCCUAGCUAGAUUUUUACAUUCAACAAUUUUGAAUUUUCUUCCUAUUAGGGUUUAAUCAUAAUGCUAAUAACUUUGAUGGUAUUGUAUUAGAUUAUCAUUUUUUUUUCCAUCUUAUCUUCUUCUUUGAAUGGCUAUCCUUUCUGCAUGGAGUCCCCUAUUGCUUUUUUUAGGUUUUCGUCAUUUUCAAAAAUAACUUGAAGAACACCCUAUGGAUGAGGUCUUCAAUAUUAUUCUAUAGGGACUUAUAGUACAUAGUCUAGUGACAAAGGCAGUCAUGAAAGUCUUAAUAAGUCCGAGAGUUUUUUCAACCUUUUCCUUAAAGCAAGUUUCCUCAAGGUAUCUUGUUUUCACGGAGUUGGUAAAUUUAAAAUUUUAUUUGAGUAAAGGGCGUAAAUUCUUCAAACAUUUAG